GAUGAACGCUGGCGGCGUGCUUAACACAUGCAAGUCGAACGAUGAUCUCCAGCUUGCUGGGGGAUUAGUGGCGAACGGGUGAGUAACACGUGAGUAACCUGCCCUUGACUCUGGGAUAAGCUGGGAAACUGGGUCUAAUACCGGAUAUGACCGAUCACCGCAUGGUGUGUUGGUGGAAAGCUUUUGCGGUUUUGGAUGGACUCGCGGCCUAUCAGCUUGUUGGUGGGGUAAUGGCCUACCAAGGCGACGACGGGUAGCCGGCCUGAGAGGGUGACCGGCCACACUGGGACUGAGACACGGCCCAGACUCCUACGGGAGGCAGCAGUGGGGAAUAUUGCACAAUGGGCGGAAGCCUGAUGCAGCGACGCCGCGUGAGGGAUGACGGCCUUCGGGUUGUAAACCUCUUUCAGUAGGGAAGAAGCGUAAGUGACCGUACCUGCAGAAGAAGCGCCGGCUAACUACGUGC
rnacentral:rRNA from 1 species